CAGUCGCCGCGGGAAUACAGAGGAUGCAAGCGUUAUCCGGAAUGAUUGGGCGUAAAGCGUCUGUAGGUGGCUUUUCAAGUCCGCCGUCAAAUCCCCGGGCUCAACCGGGGAGGGUCAUUGGAAACUGGGAAACUUGAGUGCAGAAGAGGAGAGUGGAAUUCCACGUGUAGCGGUGAAAUGCGUAGAGAUGUGGAGGAACACCAGUGGCGAAGGCGACUCUCUGGUCUGUAACUGACGCUGAGGAGCGAAAGCGUGGGGAGCGAACAGGAUUAGAUACCCCAGUAGUCCCUGUCUCUUAUAC
rnacentral:rRNA from 1 species